rnacentral:rRNA from 1 species
GGAAGAUGUAACGGGGCUAAACCAUGCACCGAAGCUGCGGCAGCGACACUGUGUGUUGUUGGGUAGGGGAGCGUUCUGUAAGCCUGUGAAGGUGUGUCGUGAGGCAUGCUGGAGGUAUCAGAAGUGCGAAUGCUGACAUAAGUAACGAUAAAGCGGGUGAAAAGCCCGCUCGCCGGAAGACCAAGGGUUCCUGUCCAACGUUAAUCGGGGCAGGGUGAGUCGACCCCUAAGGCGAGGCCGAAAGGCGUAGUCGAUGGGAAACGGGUUAAUAUUCCCGUACUUGGUGUUACUGCGAAGGGGGGACGGAGAAGGCUAUGUUGGCCGGGCGACGGUUGUCCCGGUUUAAGCGUGUAGGUGUGUGUUCCAGGUAAAUCCGGUUCACUUUAACACUGAGGCGUGACGACGAGGCACUACGGUGCUGAAGCAACAAAUGCCCUGCUUCCAGGAAAAGCCUCUAAGCAUCAGGUAACAUCAAAUCGUACCCCAAACCGACACAGGUGGUCAGGUAGAGAAUACCAAGGCGCUUGAGAGAACUCGGGUGAAGGAACUAGGCAAAAUGGUGCCGUAACUUCGGGAGAAGGCACGCUGACACGUAGGUGAAGUGAUUUACUCAUGGAGCUGAAGUCAGUCGAAGAUACCAGCUGGCUGCAACUGUUUAUUAAAAACACAGCACUGUGCAAACACGAAAGUGGACGUAUACGGUGUGACGCCUGCCCGGUGCCGGAAGGUUAAUUGAUGGGGUCAGCGCAAGCGAAGCUCCUGAUCGAAGCCCCGGUAAACGGCGGCCGUAACUAUAACGGUCCUAAGGUAGCGAAAUUCCUUGUCGGGUAAGUUCCGACCUGCACGAAUGGCGUAAUGAUGGCCAGGCUGUCUCCACCCGAGACUCAGUGAAAUUGAACUCGCUGUGAAGAUGCAGUGUACCCGCGGCAAGACGGAAAGACCCCGUGAACCUUUACUAUAGCUUGACACUGAACAUUGAGCCUUGAUGUGUAGGAUAGGUGGGAGGCUUUGAAGUGUGGACGCCAGUCUGCAUGGAGCCGACCUUGAAAUACCACCCUUUAAUGUUUGAUGUUCUAACGUGGACCCGUUACCCGGGUUGCGGACAGUGUCUGGUGGGUAGUUUGACUGGGGCGGUCUCCUCCUAAAGAGUAACGGAGGAGCACGAAGGUUGGCUAAUCCUGGUCGGACAUCAGGAGGUUAGUGCAAUGGCAUAAGCCAGCUUGACUGCGAGCGUGACGGCGCGAGCAGGUGCGAAAGCAGGUCAUAGUGAUCCGGUGGUUCUGAAUGGAAGGGCCAUCGCUCAACGGAUAAAAGGUACUCCGGGGAUAACAGGCUGAUACCGCCCAAGAGUUCAUAUCGACGGCGGUGUUUGGCACCUCGAUGUCGGCUCAUCACAUCCUGGGGCUGAAGUAGGUCCCAAGGGUAUGGCUGUUCGCCAUUUAAAGUGGUACGCGAGCUGGGUUUAGAACGUCGUGAGACAGUUCGGUCCCUAUCUGCCGUGGGCGCUGGAGAACUGAGGGGGGCUGCUCCUAGUACGAGAGGACCGGAGUGGACGCAUCACUGGUGUUCGGGUUGUCAUGCCAAUGGCACUGCCCGGUAGCUAAAUGCGGAAGAGAUAAGUGCUGAAAGCAUCUAAGCACGAAACUUGCCCCGA